rnacentral:lncRNA from 1 species
UUCUGUUUCCCUCAGGAGAAGUUUCAACAUUUCUACAGGAACACACCCAAAUUAGGAUUUAGAGCAAACACACUUCCUGCCAGGCAUCGCUGUGAGACUGUAAAAGGACACUUUCACCUUUGAAACGGUGGUUUCCCAACACUAUGAUAAAACCCCAUUGUUCAUUUUUUUUCUUUUCCUUCUUAUACUUUUUUUCCUAAUCGUCCCUCCAGUGAACCUAGCUUUUCUAGCCCUGCCUUUUCAGAGUUUUUUUUCUUUUUUUUUUCUCCCCCGCCCCCAGCACCUUCUUUAAGGCUAAAGCUCCAUUUAAAAUGGUACGUGUGAUCCCUGGUAUAAGCUUGAAUCUCAAAGGAAGGAUGAAAAGGAGCCUUCGGUGGAGAUCCGAAGUGGCCUUUCAGUCUUGGGCACAGCUGCGGGGAUCAGAGUGUAUUGUAUUGCUCACACUGGGGGUUAUAAAGAAGACUCUAGCAGAUACUUAGAGACCAGUCCACGGCCAGCAGAACUGACUCUCAAUGCAACAGCCUGAGCACAACCUGGGACAGAAUGCCAGCAAGACAACACUCUCCUCUGGGCCCCUGGGACUCCAGGACAGCGGACAUUUAUUAUUUCCUAUAUGAUGGUGGGUGCCAGGUGCUUUGCCAGGCACAGAGACAUAAAGCUGCUCACAGUCUCCAGCAGGUGAGGAGACAGUAGAGAAACAAUUCUAAAUAAAUGGGUGCCAUUCCAUGUGAUUGUAAAAGGAAAAUAAAAUCUUGGGAUCACAAACUCACUACAAAAAAAGGGAAAAUUAAGCUUUGAAACUGAGCCACACAAACAAAAACCAUCUUUCCUUUUGUUUCUAAACAGCUGUCUCCCCAGGUGGUCUCCCUCACCUGGACAAUGUAAAUUAACAGCUUAUUUUCACAAGUCGGAAACAAGAGCAGACUAGAAAUUGACCUUACUGCUCACCUCCAGACCAAUGCAUACUGGACUUCUUCCACGACUCUGUUUACUUCAUCUUAUGUAAAGUGCAGAUUUACUGCGCACAAGGCAUACAUGAUUGAGGGUUCCUCUACCCUCUCCUUUGCACAUGCAACAUUUGGAUUCAGUGCACACUAAUCAAAGACUCACAAGAAAGUAACCGUUUGUCUCAUUUUUUCUACCCUCCUCUUUUCUCCUUCCUCUCCAGCCCACUUUUCCCCCUUUAAAUACUGAAGCCCUCAAAACCCUCUUUGGAAAAAGUGCAGGACACAGAUCCUACUGUGGCUUGUGUCUCUUUUUCCCUCCCUAACCAGAUGCAUCCUCAACCUUAGCAAAAUAAACCUCUAAAUUGAUUGAGAUCUGUCUCAGGCAUUGUUUUUGGUUUAUAGGAUACAGAUGCCAAAAUCUACAGCAGACACUCAAAGGAGGUUGGGGUGACCUGGGGGGUUCUGAGAUAGCUUAUUCACAGAGGAGAUGGUGCUUCAGUUUGAGAGCAAGGAUAGGGUGUGAGAAGAUGUUCCAGGGACAGGGCACAGCAGGAAUGCAGAGAUGGAUUCUGGGUUCACAUUGGCUGGAGAAGAGACAGCAAGGAAAGCAGUGAUGAGGAAGGUAGAUGAGACAGAAAAGGUAGGAGGAGCAGAGAAAAAGAAGAGCCCUGAUGCCACGAAGGAGCUUAAAACUUACCCUACAGGUCAGUGUUUCCAAAACAUAACUGUUUGGAAAUCAUCUGGGAGCUUUGAAAAAUACAGAUUCUAACAUUCCUCCCUCCAGACCUACUGAAUUAAUGUCUCUAGUAAUAAGGAUCUAGGAUUCAGUUUUUUAAAAUUCCCAGGUAGUUAUUCUAACAGGUGGGUAAGAAUCAGCAGAGUCAAUAAGGAGGCCACUGAAGCUUUUAAGCACAGAGUAUCCAAGCUUGCUUGUAUAUUUAAAUGACAAGUUAUACAGCCCCACAGUCCAUAUGUAAGAUCUUUCAACAUGAUGAAGGAAACAUUGGAAAUCAUUAAAUAGUGCUGGAAAAAAAUUGACUAUUAAAAAUAUCAUCUACCAUACAUCAAAAAAGCAACUACAGAUUGAGUGAAGAGUUUAAAUUAGUAUUGCAGGGCCACUUAUACAUGGACACAGAUGAAUUCAGAACCAUGUAUUUGUAAUGGCACCAUUCUCCCUGGUGGACAGGUUCUCUCCAGCAAUGCUUGGCUGCCUAGGAGCAGAAAAGUGUGAGGGUGGGUUCAUCCAGGAUUGCACGCAGGCUAGAUGGGUGCAGUAGAUGGGAGAGGGGUGGAGGAACUCAGGAGUCCUGGUAAGGAUGUGUUUGAAUUCAUUUACCAUCUGUCUAAGCUGGGAAAGAAGAAAUGCUAAGUGGGGUUCAAGAGAGCAGCAGAACAGGAAGGAGGGGUAGACCUAUUUUUCCUAGUCUCAUCUCCCAAUUUCCCAGUGCUGCAAGCUUGUUAAGUAUUGAGAGCCUAUGUUAUCCAUCAUUGUAUUUCCAGGGCCCUCGCCUAAAGAAGUACUUGAUACAUGCUUGCCUGACUGGAUGAAGGGAACUGAGGUCUGGCAAACUACAGCUUGUGUAUUAGUCCGUUUUCACACUGCUAUAAAGAUGCUACCUGAAACUGAGUAAUUUACAAACAAAAGAGGUUUAAUUGGCUCACAGUUCCACAUAGCUGGGGAGGCCUUGGGAAACUUACAAUCAUGGCAGAAGGCAAAGGAGAGGUAAGCACCUUC